AGCAAGAUGCUGAGUGGAGUCGGGGGCUUUGUGCUGGGCCUGCUCUUCCUUGGGGCAGGGCUGUUCAUCUACUUCAGGAAUCAGAAAGCACGCUCUGGACUUCAGCCAUCAGGACUCCUGAGCUGAAGGGAAGGUGACCACAUUCAAGGAAGAACCUUCUGCCCCAGCUUUGCAGGAUGAAAAGCCUUCCUGCUUGGCUCUUAUUCUUCCACAAGACAGAGCUUUCUCAGGACCUGGUUGCUACUGGUUCAGCAACUCUGCAGAAAAUGCCCUCCCUUGUGGCUUCCUCAGCUCCUGCCCUUGGCCUGAAGUCCCAGCAUUGGUGGCAUUUCCUCAUCUUCAACUUUUAUGCUCCCCUUUACCUAAUCCUUCGUGCCUCCCAUGCAUCUGUACUCACCCUGUGCUACAAACACAUUACAUUAUUAAAUUUUUCUGAGACAUGGAGUUAAAAAUGGUGCGGUCUAUUUGACUCCAAGGAAAAAAAAUA